rnacentral:rRNA from 1 species
AACGAACGCUGGCGGCAGGCUUAACACAUGCAAGUCGAACGCACCGCAAGGUGAGUGGCAGAAGGGUGAGUAACACGUGGGGAUCUGCCCAAUGGUACGGAAUAGCUCCGGGAAACUGGAAUUAAUACCGUAUGAGCCCGCAAGGGGAAAGAUGUAUCGCCAUUGGAUGAACCCGCGUCGGAUUAGCUAGUUGGUGUGGUAAAGGCGCACCAAGGCUACGAUCCGUAGGGGGUCUGAGAGGAUGAUCAGCCACAUUGGGACUGAGACACGGCCCAGACUCCUACGGGAGGCAGCAGUGGGGAAUAUUGGACAAUGGGCGAAAGCCUGAUCCAGCGAUGCCGCGUGAGUGAUGAAGGCCUUAGGUUUGUAAAGCUCUUUCGCCGACGAAGAUAAUGACGGUAGUCGGAGAAGAAGCCCCGGCUAACUUCGUGCCAGCCGCCGCCGUAAAAC